rnacentral:rRNA from 1 species
CGUGGAAUCUCAAGGGUAUUCCAACAAGGCANCCNUNNUAGUUAAUUUGNNAANNGGGAUAANUUNAGCAACGGGUGAGUAACACGAUAAGUAACCUGCCCUUGACUUCGGGAUAACUCCGGGAAACCGGGGCUAAUACCGGAUAUGAGCCGCCCUCGCAUGGGGGUGGUUGGAAAGUUUUUUCGGUCAGGGAUGGGCUCGCGGCCUAUCAGCUUGUUGGUGGGGUGAUGGCCUACCAAGGCGACGACGGGUAGCCGGCCUGAGAGGGCGACCGGCCACUCUGGGACUGAUACACGGCCCAUACUCCUACGGGAGGCAGCAGUGGGGAAUAUUGCACAAUGGGCGAAAGCCUGAUGCAUCGACGCCGCGUGAGGGAUGAAGGCCUUCGGGUUGUAAACCUCUUUCAGCAGGGAAGAAGCGCAAGUGACGGUACCUGCAGAAGAAGCGCCGGCUAACUACUUGUCAACCA